GAUGAAGAACGUAGUGAAAUGCGAUAAGUAAUGCGAAUUGCAGAAUCCGUGAGUCAUCGAAUCUUUGAACGCACAUUGCGCCCCCUGGUAUUCCGGGGGGCAUGCCUGUCCGAGCGUCAUUGCUGCCCUCAAGCACGGCUUGUGUGUUGGGCCCCGUCCUCCGAUCCCGGGGGACGGGCCCGAAAGGCAGCGGCGGCACCGCGUCCGGUCCUCGAGCGUAUGGGGCUUUGUCACCCGCUCUGUAGGCCCGGCCGGCGCUUGCCGAUCAACCCAAAUUUUUAUCCAGGUUGACCUCGGAUCAGGUAGGGAUACCCGCUGAACUUAAGCAUAUCAAUAAGCGGAGGA
rnacentral:misc_RNA from 1 species